CACGUAGGGCGCAAGCGUUGUCCGGAAUUAUUGGGCGUAAAGAGCUCGUAGGCGGUCUGUCGCGUCCGCUGUGAAAACCCGUGGCUCAACCAUGUGGUCUGCAGUCGAUACGGGCAGGCUAGAAUUCGGUAGGGGAGACUGGAAUUCCUGGUGUAGCGGUGAAAUGCGCAGAUAUCAGGAGGAACACCGGUGGCGAAGGCGGGUCUCUGGGCCGAUAUUGACGCUGAGGAGCGAAAGCGUGGGGAGCGAACAGG
rnacentral:rRNA from 1 species